UCAGGAGCUGGCUGAGAACUGUG
rnacentral:piRNA from 1 species